rnacentral:rRNA from 1 species
GACGAACCGUGCGAACGUUGUUCGGAAUCACUGGGCUUAAAGGGCGCGUAGGCGGGCUCUCAAGUCAGGGGGUGAAAAACUUUCGGCUCAACCGGAAAAGUGCUUCUGAUACUGGGAGUCUCGAGGGAGGUAGGGGUCGGUGGAACUGGUGGUGGAGCGGUGAAAUGCGUAGAUAUCACUAGGAACGCCGGUGGCGAAAGCGACCGACUGGACCUCUUCUGACGCUGAGGCGCGAAAGCCAGGGGAGCGAACGGG